AAGCGGUGGAGUAUGUGGUUUAAUUCGAUGCAACGCGAAGAACCUUACCUAGGUUUGACAUCCGGAAGACCUUCCCGAAAAGGAAGGGUGCCCUUCGGGGAAUUCCGAGACAGGUGCUGCAUGGCUGUCGUCAGCUCGUGCCGUGAGGUGUUGGGUUAAGUCCCGCAACGAGCGCAACCCUAUUGCCAGUUGCUACCAGGUAAUGCGUGGGCACUCGUGGUGAGACUGCCCCGGUUAACGGGGAGGAAGGUGGGGACGACGUCAAGUCAUCAUGGCCCUUACGCCUAGGGCUACACACGUACUACAAUGGCGCAUACAAAGGGCAGCGAUACCGCGAGGUGGAGCCAAUCCCAAAAAGUGACGUCCCAGUCCGGAUUGCAGUCUGCAACUCGACUGCAUGAAGUUGGAAUCGCUAGUAAUUCGAGAUCAGCAUGCUCGGGUGAAUGCGUUCCCGGGCCUU
rnacentral:rRNA from 1 species